rnacentral:misc_RNA from 1 species
GAUCGUUCAUCGCAGACAUCGGCGUCGGGAAUGCCGCUUUCAUUUUUCUUUUUUUCAUAUAUGUGUACAUAUAUGUAUACAUAUACAUACACACAUGUACGGAUGCAUAUGUGUACAUAUAUAUUAUAUCUUAUGUACGUACGUAUGUAUGCAUAUAUACAUACAUAUACACACAUAUAUAUAUAUUUAUAUACUUAUAUUUUUAUUCAAAAUGUUAUAUCUCGUUUAGAGAAGGCGACGCGCGUCGCCUUAUUUAUUUACUUUGCUUUUUUUUUUUUUUUUUUUUUUUUCAAUGCCUACAAAUGCAUCGUUUAUAUCUUUUCCGGCAUCAUGGACAUACAACGUAAAUAGCCUAGAUCAUCGUACAAAUAAGUUGAUCAAUAUUAAUCGUUGCCCUGAGUGCCUUGGUACCCGGCUUGCGAACGGAACUCGGUUUCCGUGCCUCGUUAAGCACGUUCGAACCUCAAACCAUUCUCGCUAUCUUGUUCGUUCUGGCGUAAACGCGCCUCCCGGUUCCUCGCGCUCCUGUCGUCCACUGUUUCGAUUAUGCCAUUGUUUCCCACUUUAGAAGCAGCUAAAGGAAAAUUGUUAAGCGUCGCAACGCGUCGAUCGGCCGCCGAUCUCGCGCCAUCCGCCGCUCUAUCGAACAAUCGUGGCGUUUCGUUCGUUCGCGGCGAUUAAUCGACGGGAAUCAAUUUGAAAUCCGAUCAUCGAGCUGAACCACGCCUAUGCCUCGUUCUUUCUUUCCUCCUUCCCUUUCUUUCUCUUUCUUCCCACACGCGAAAAAGUGAACGCGAAUAAGUGUAUUUGUAAACUGUACAAAGAGGAGGAUGCGUCGUGGAAGCGCAUCGUCGAUUGGCGAUUUGAAUGAACCAGCGGGAUGCGGUUCGGCUGGACGCUCGAGCGCGUUCGCGGAGAAACUGUCAACUCGUGAGUAAAAAGUGGCAGUCGAAUCAGACAGCUCGUUGAAGCGAAUUCCGGUGCGAGAAUGAUGCGAGUGUGAGGCGCGUGGGUGUGCGUGGGCGCGCUUGUCGCGCGCUGGACAAAAAUUCGGAUUAGAUGCGGGGGAAAGCGAAGAGGUGGUGUUUCGAGUUCGCGUUCGCGGCCGACGAAAUGUCGCCAGGCUUCCAACAACACGUUUCUUUUUGAUUCGGUAUGUACUCGGUCUCGACGCGAGCCACGAGGUCCGUGCGGAGAUCGGCCGACGACCGCGGUCUCUGCUGUGCUAUCGUAUUUUGACCCUUUCGCAGUUGCAAUUGCGCGACACUUUACAAAACGCUUGA